UACGUAGGUGGCAAGCGUUGUCCGGAUUUACUGGGCGUAAAGAGCGCGCAGGCGGUCGUCCAAGUCGCGUGUGAAAGCCCCCGGCUCAACUGGGGAGGGUCACGCGAUACUGGUCGACUCGAAGGCAGGAGAGGGUAGUGGAAUUCCCGGUGUAGUGGUGAAAUGCGCAGAUAUCGAGAGGAACACCUGCGGCGAAGGCGGGUAGCUGGGCCGACACUGACGCUGAGGCGCGAAAGCCAGGGGAGCGAACGGG
rnacentral:rRNA from 1 species